GCUCAAUGUGAUUCAGUCUGUCCCUGAGGUUUCAUGUCCUGGACUUUUCUUUUUACCUUGUAGCAGCAUUGCAUGUUUUUGAAUGUUUCUGUACCACCCCAGAAGUGUUCUACUCCAUGCAGGAUUAAACCCAGCAUGAGUGAAAUUGUAAGGCCCCCUUGAAGAUGCAUGAGAGGAAGAUAUUUCCCUUCAGUGCUUCAGCAACUCCUCCUAUGAGAGAACUUCUGAGGCCAUCCAAAACCACUCCAUCAAGGUCUUGCCAGCAUCCGAGAACAGAAGAUAAUAAGUACAUAAAGGAUUUAUGUUUAAAAGUGAAUUUUCAUUUGGGUUAGUUAGAAAAAUACUGAUAUUAUAUGAGAGCAAGUAUGUUCCUUUGCAUGUUCUGGUAUGUUGUCUGUUUUAAUCACUCCACCUCUCUCUGAAAUGUCAGCCAAAAC
rnacentral:lncRNA from 1 species